GAUGAACGCUAGCGGCAGGCCUAAUACAUGCAAGUCGAACGGUAUUCAGAUGCUUGCAUUUGAAGAGAGUGGCGCACGGGUGCGUAACGCGUAUGAAACCUACCUUUAACAGGGGGAUAGCCUCUCGAAAGAGAGAUUAAUACCGCAUAAUAUCGGGAGUGGGCAUCCACAUUCGAUUAAAUAUUUAUAGGUUAAAGAUGGUCAUGCGUGACAUUAGCUAGUUGGAGAGGUAAUGGCUCACCAAGGCGACGAUGUCUAGGGGAUCUGAGAGGAUGGCCCCCCACACUGGUACUGAGACACGGACCAGACUCCUACGGGAGGCAGCAGUAAGGAAUAUUGGUCAAUGGACGGAAGUCUGAACCAGCCAUGCCGCGUGCAAGAAGAAGGCCCUACGGUUGUAAUUGCUUUAAUCGAGAAUAACAGUAACUACGUGUAGUUGUAUGAAAGUAUCGAUAGAAU
rnacentral:rRNA from 1 species